AUAUAUAUAUAUAUUGUGUGUGUGUGUGUGUGUGUGUUUUAGUUUGUUUUUCUGAAAACCGUUCUUAUAAUCUGCUCAGAUCCUUUCCUCAACCAUCUUUUGUGAUGCCACUUAAUGUUGACUGUUGUAAGGUAAUUCUGUUGACACCCAUAUCAUCACACACACACAUGCACACACUGGUUGACGAGAGGGAAUGCUAUCAAGGCCCCUCCCCCAUUUUCUCUGUACUGUUGCUGCUAGCCCCAGCUUUUAUCACUUGGUGCUAACUUUUUGCCCGUAGCCCCCCCCCACCUUUUAAUAAUUUCUAACUUUACUGAAAUCUCAGAUUCUAACCUGAAUGCCCCGCCCCCUAAACCCUGAUCAAACCAAUCAUGCCUUAUUGUUUCUUACAAUUCUUUAAUAAACUGCCUUAUAUUAAAAAAAAAUAAUAAAAACAAUUUAAAGAAAAAAAUAUACUCCCCCCCCACCCCCCCAAAAAAAACAAAAACCUGUAACU